UACGAAGGGGGCUAGCGUUGUUCGGAUUUACUGGGCGUAAAGCGCACGUAGGCGGGUUGUUAAGUCAGGGGUGAAAUCCUGGAGCUCAACUCCAGAACUGCCUUUGAUACUGGCAACCUAGAGGCUGGAAGAGGUUAGUGGAAUUCCCAGUGUAGAGGUGAAAUUCGUAGAUAUUGGGAAGAACACCAGUGGCGAAGGCGGCCAACUGGCACGGUAUUGACGCUGAGGCGCGAAAGCGUGGGGAGCAAACAGG
rnacentral:rRNA from 1 species